UCUCUCUGCAGGCAUGGAUGUCUGUGGGUGUAUCUCAGGUCUCUGCAGGUGUGGGUAUCUCUACAAGUGUGGGUAUGUCUGCAGGUGGGUGUCUCUGCAGGUGUGGCUGUGUAUCCCCAGGGGUGGGAGGCCGGGCGCUGAGAUCUUUGAGGAGUGGCG